AGAGUUUGAUCAUGGCUCAGGAUGAGCGCUAGCGGCAGGCUUAACACAUGCAAGUCGAGGGGCAGCAUAAUGGAUAGCAAUAUCUAUGGUGGCGACCGGCGCACGGGUGCGUAACGCGUAUGCAACCUACCUUUAACAGGGGGAUAACACUGAGAAAUUGGUACUAAUACCCCAUAAUAUCAUAGAAGGCAUCUUUUAUGGUUGAAAAUUCCGAUGGUUAGAGAUGGGCCCCAUGCGUUG
rnacentral:rRNA from 1 species